rnacentral:lncRNA from 12 species
CCAGGAUGUUGUCUUCUUUCUGCCUCCCAAAAUACCAUAUGUUCAUGCUUUUGCAAGGAAGAAAUACACAGAAAACUAAAACCAGGGUUAGCAAGUUUUACUUGUUUUUUAAUUGGCUUUGUGCUCUUCGUGGCGUAUCAGAGUCACUUUCCCAGGUCAUUCAAUCUUCCCCUGACUGUGAGUAAUGGAAUAUUCUAAGUUUAGCAAUGCUCAUUCUUGAACUUUUGGGUUAAUUCCAAACUCACUAUUAUAAAUCACACUUUGAGGAACAAGCUCAUGCAUUAAAUCUCUCCGCGGGUUUCUUGGAGAUACAUUUUUAAAAGUAAUGACAGGUCAAAGCUCUUCGAGUAUUUUUAAAGACUCUGCUAAGCGCCGUCAGGUGCAGGCCGGCACCGACUGUGCGACAGAGGAGAACGGGUCAUCUGUGGCCUGUCCUGGGCAGGAGCAGCCUCGAUGCAACCCGGCCUGCGGGGCGCCGGCCACGCUCCUGGCCACCAGGUGUCAGCGCAAGGCAGGGCGACCGGGCCAGGCCUGGCCGGGCCACCCCGGUCCCCUCGGCCACGUCCCCCUGGGCGCCUGCAGUGACCUCGGGUCCAGGGCUGACCGUCGGCUCUGCUUUAGGGCCCCCCAAACUGUUCCACGGCCUCUGCGGGGCGAACCUGGUCUGGGGAGGAUCUGGCCGGCGACAAAGCCCUCGCAUGUGCUCGUUCGGCAGCCACAGCGACACAGAGUCCCCCGGAGACAAGUGGGUGUCCCCCGGGAGCUGAGCAAGGCCAGCAUCGGCGUGGAGGUCACGAGGGGACAGACCCGGAGACCCAGUCGCAGCUCCCGAAAGCCAGGGCCCGGGCGUGGAGCAGAGUCUUCCUCGCUCCCCUCCGAGGCAACCAGCCCCGCGGACACCGACCGUGGGCCCCUCGCCCCCAGGACCGCCAGACAUGACAUAUUUGCAGCGGAACGGACAUUAGAGACCUGCUUGCACCCCAAAGCCGGGUCCUUUGGGUGGUUGGUCGGCAAGACCCCCAGCCUGCCCAGAGAGAAGCCUCCACGCCUGGGCCCAGGUUUUCAGAUCUGCCAGCCUUGA